rnacentral:rRNA from 1 species
AGUGAACGCUGGCGGUAGGCCUAACACAUGCAAGUCGAACGGCAGCACAGUAAGAGCUUGCUCUUACGGGUGGCGAGUGGCGGACGGGUGAGGAAUACAUCGGAAUCUACUUUUUCGUGGGGGAUAACGUAGGGAAACUUACGCUAAUACCGCAUACGACCUACGGGUGAAAGCAGUGGAUCUUCGGACCUUGCGCGAUUGGAUGAGCCGAUGUCGGAUUAGCUAGUUGGCUGGGUAAUGACCCACGAAGUCGACGAUCCGUAGCUGGUCUGAGAGGAGGAUCACCCACCCUGGAGCUGAGACACGGUCCAGACUCCUAAGGGAGGCAGCAGUGGGGAAUAUUGGACAAUGGGCGCAAGCCUGAUCCAGCCAUACCGCGUGUGUGACGAAGGCCUUCGGGUUGUAAAGACCUUUUGUUGGGAAAGAACAGCAGCAGGUUAAUACCACGCUGUUCUGACGGUAACCAAAGAAUAAGCACCGGCUAACUUCGUG